GAUGAAGAACGUAGCGAAAUGCGAUAAGUAAUGUGAAUUGCAGAAUUCAGUGAAUCAUAGAAUCUUUGAACGCACCUUGCGCCUUUUGGUAUUCCGAAAGGCACACCUGUUUGAGCGUCAUGAAUACCUCAAUCUCCAUCUUUUCUUCGGAUUGAUGGGUGACUUGGAUGUUGAGCCCUGCUGGUAUGCUAUAUCAGCUGGCUUUAAACUUAUUAGCCGGCUCUGUACUGGAUCGGUUUGACUCGACGUGAUAAUAUUAUCGUUGAGGAUGCAUGUCUCAUGCAGCCGGAAAGUAUCAAAGCAGCUUCUAGCUUGCCUUUAGUGCACUUUUACAUUUUAGACCUCAGAUCAGGUGGGACUACCCGCUGAACUUAAGCAUAUCAAUAAGCGGAGGA
rnacentral:misc_RNA from 1 species